rnacentral:rRNA from 1 species
GAUGAACGCUGGCGGCGUGCCUAAUACAUGCAAGUCGAGCGAACAGACGAGGAGCUUGCUCCUCUGACGUUAGCGGCGGACGGGUGAGUAACACGUGGAUAACCUACCUAUAAGACUGGGAUAACUUCGGGAAACCGGAGCUAAUACCGGAUAAUAUAUUGAACCGCAUGGUUCAAUAGUGAAAGACGGUUUUGCUGUCACUUAUAGAUGGAUCCGCGCCGCAUUAGCUAGUUGGUAAGGUAACGGCUUACCAAGGCAACGAUGCGUAGCCGACCUGAGAGGGUGAUCGGCCACACUGGAACUGAGACACGGUCCAGACUCCUACGGGAGGCAGCAGUAGGGAAUCUUCCGCAAUGGGCGAAAGCCUGACGGAGCGACGCCGCGUGAGUGAUGAAGGUCUUCGGAUCGUAAAACUCUGUUAUUAGGGAAGAAUAAAUGUGUAAGUAACUAUGCACGUCUUGACGGUACCUAAUCAGAAAGCCACGGCUAACUACGUG